UAGGCUUAUAGUUCGUAUCUCAGAAAAGUCU
rnacentral:piRNA from 1 species